rnacentral:rRNA from 1 species
CCUACGGGUGGCAGCAGUGGGGAAUAUUGGACAAUGGGCGAAAGCCUGAUCCAGCCAUGCCGCGUGUGUGAAGAAGGCCUUCGGGUUGUAAAGCACUUUCAGUGGGGAAGAAAGCCUUGGGGCUAAUACCCUCGAGGAAGGACAUCACCCACAGAAGAAGCACCGGCUAACUCCGUGCCAGCAGCCGCGGUAAUACGGAGGGUGCGAGCGUUAAUCGGAAUUACUGGGCGUAAAGCGCGCGUAGGCGGUCUGAUAAGCCGGUUGUGAAAGCCCCGGGCUCAACCUGGGAACGGCAUCCGGAACUGUCCGGCUAGAGUGCAGGAGAGGAAGGUAGAAUUCCCGGUGUAGCGGUGAAAUGCGUAGAGAUCGGGAGGAAUACCAGUGGCGAAGGCGGCCUUCUGGACUGACACUGACGCUGAGGUGCGAAAGCGUGGGUAGCAAACAGGAUUAGAUACCCGGGUAGUC